GCUGGCGUAGCUCAACGGGUAGAGCGGCUGACUUGUAAUCAGCAGGUUAAGGGUUCGAGUCCCUUCGCCAGCU
rnacentral:tRNA from 1 species